rnacentral:lncRNA from 1 species
CAAGCCUUAAAAUGAUUUUUGGGCACAAUAAGACAUGCUUUUAGGAGUUUACGGCCAUGGAGCACCUUCUAUGGCCGUAAACUCUCAAAUGAAGAGUUUUGAUGUGUUUAAGGCCCUUAAACUAUUUUUGGUUGGUUCUAUGAUUUAUUCCAAGGCUUUUGGUGGUGUUGGAUGGCUUUCUAACACCUUGAAAAUGAUUUUACACCCAUGAUUGAGGAGUUUACAGCCUAGGCACAUGCCUUGGCCAUAAACUCAUUCAAACCCCUCAAAAUUCAUGUUUAAGGUGUUCUAGGUCCAUAACCAAUAUUCUAAAAGUCGUAUCUAAGUCUUGUUUGAGCCAUGGAAGGGUUUAAGGGCUUAAAAACCCUUUAAAUAUUGGUUUACGGCCUAAGCACCAUCCUGGGCCGUAAACUCAUAUAUAAGGCUCUAAAUCAUGGUUUGAGGCAUUCUAAUUCCAUUUCAUAAAGUCAUCUAGCCAUAUUCAAGGUCUAAUUGUGGUUUGGAAGGGUUUUGUUGCUCCAAAAACCCCCAUUUAUAUGAGUUUACGGCCUAGGACUGUUCUGGGGCCGUAAAAUCUUGAUAAUGGUCCUAAUCCAUGGUUUAAACUCGAAUUUGAAGGCUAGAAAGGUUGCAUAACAAAUUAGGGAAGGUACCUUGAAGAUUUGAGACCUUAAACUUGAGAUUUGGACCUUUAAAUCUAGUUUGAGGAGAGAGGUUGGAGUGAAAGUUGUAGAAUGGAGCAAAAGCUUCAAAAUGAAGACUUGGAUCACUUUAAAUAGUGUCCAAGUUCGGGACACGGUAGAAUUCUACCCGAUACCGGCGUUAGACGGGGCUUUUGGUCGCACCCGGCCAAUUUGCCAUAACCCGAUAUGGUUGAUUCUAGAAAUGUUCCGAUCAUUAAUAUGAGACGUUAGAAUGAGUUCUAAGGGUAUUAAGACACUCAUUAAGUCAUAAAAUAAAAUAUACAUUAAUGACUUAAUAAAAUGCCGGAAUCGGAAACGAAAUCGGAAACGGCGAUUGGAUGAUCGAAACGAGUCGCGAGUAGGGUUACAUUUAGGGAUAUGAAUUUCCGGGUUGUUACAUUAUCCCCCCGUUAGAGGGAAUUUCGUCCCGAAAUUCAAAGAUUCGAACACAGAUCACGAAGUGAAAAGAGAUAUGAGAAUGAAUCUACUGCUUCGGGUCUUCAAGCUCCUAAGUGGAAUCGGGUCUCCGCUUGACAUUCCAGCGAACCCUCACUGUCAGGAUGUGGCUUUGUUACGCAUGGUUAACCUCUCCAUCCACGAUCUCAAUUGAUUCAUCCAUGAAGGUUCGGAUUUUUAUCGGUUUUGACCUCGUCAAGGGUGACUAAGGUUUUCGUCAGGUCGGCAAGCCUUACGAAUAAAUAUGCGGAAUAUCAGAUGGUUGCUACUGAGUCCUGAAGAUAGCUCGGAGAGGGCUAUGGAAUCAAUUCCUAACGAAUAUCUCGAAGGGUCUAAGGUUCCACAAGUUAAGUUUUCCGCACUUCUUAAGGCGUACUAUGUCUUUCCAGGGUAAAACCUCCAACAAGUGGGUACAUUGUCACAUGGCAGAGUAACUAAGGGUCCGAUGGUUCUAAGGGAAACUUCUACAUGAGUCUACGAUUAUAGUCGACGGAAUCCCAAGAAUCGACAGGUUUCCAUGGGUGUUCCCGGUGUCGACUAAUUCUUUAUUGCCUUUGCUUUUGGAAGGGUUUACGAGUAUGACUGCUUUGCUUAACUAUAUGACCAAGAAAAUGGUUCGACCGAAGGGCGCCACUACUACCUCGUAGUGAUCGUAUCAUGCCCUGAUUGCUGCCUUGCACAUAUCGUGCUCAUUGAGGUUUGACUACGAGGAAAUUCCUGGGAUUAGUUCGAUGCGAGACUGGAUUGCACAUUCGGAAAGAAUUACCAAGAAUUCUUUGGAAACAGUAUCGGGGAAGGAAUCGUAGACUUCUCGUUUCUCGAUGAUCACUCGGACGAUAAAUACAUGGAAAGACUUUUUAAGCUUUGAUGUACGAAAAUCAUGAAAGUCGAGUCGGAGGAAGGUUGGAACGAAUGGCUUUCUCGAAACUAGGAAAGACAACAUGAAUGAGGCUCAGUUAUUACAUGCUAAAGGUGACAUCAAAGCAUCUCAUAAAAAGUUUGCCAAUAGAUCGAAUGGAAAAGAAUAAUUUUUUGGAUUGAGGAUACAAUUUACGGAUACGACACAAGCGUUCUCGUUCUCACGUGAUAACCAUCUCGAAGAUAUACAUUUUCGGUUACUCGCAAACGGCAGGGUUAGAAAAUGUUCAAAUGGAUGGUUAACGAAUUUCUUUCGGUGCUAGAAUCGAAAAGAAUCACAGACAUAUAAUUUAACAAGGAGAAAUAUACCUGUGGCAAUGGUGGGAUCGGUGGCUGUAUCCUCUUGUCCUAUCGCUAGAACUCUUCCGGUGUUUCCAGGUGUUACGGCCUUGGGACAGUUUCGCUUAAGAUGUCCAACUUCUCCACAACCAUAGCAGGCCCGACCAAUGUCCGCUCUGAAAGUUUGACUCGUUGAUUGGGUUGGUGUCUUAAAGUUUUUUCGCCAUGUAACCCUUUAUGCCACAUUUGUUGCAAAUUAUCUCGAUACAUGGACCGAAAGGAAGAUGAUGAUAGUUGCACUUGUCACAACUAGGAAGGGUUCCAGUAUACCUAUUGGCAGGUUUUCGGGUUGAGGAUCUAUCAACAGACACAGUUGCAGGGGAAGUGGCAGCGUGAACUGCCACCGUUUGCUGUCUCUUCGAAGACUCGUGCGAUGCCUGACUUUUCUCUUUCUUCCCAAGUUUUCUUUUCUCCCCACUCCUCACUGUCGGCUCAGGAGUGGUAGUUACCUCCUCAAGGUCCUCACUAUGAUCGAUUAGGAUCUGUGCUAAGUGUUUGGCGCNGGAACGAAUGGCUUUCUCGAAACUAGGAAAGACAACAUGAAUGAGGCUCAGUUAUUACAUGCUAAAGGUGACAUCAAAGCAUCUCAUAAAAAGUUUGCCAAUAGAUCGAAUGGAAAAGAAUAAUUGUUUGGAUUGAGGAUACAAUUUACGGAUACGACACCAGCGU